AACCUAAGGGACAGAGCCCAGUUUCUGGCACAUGGAGAUACUCAGUCCAUGCCCACUGUUGUGGUCAAGGCCACAGUAGGCUUUCCCUGCAUGUGAAGUUGUCUCAGGGAACUUAACUAGAUGUGUGGGUUAGCCAAAGCCUUGUAGCAAAGUAACAUAUUUUAAAGCAGCCAUCAUUUGAUAGGAGUAGGCCCAGCUGUACUCUAGGAAGUAGGCUGAAGGGAGCCACUUGGGGUAGGAAGGCACCUCCCUCCAUGCAGUGGGUGUGACUCAUCCACAGGAUCCUCUGUGUGAGAUUUCUCUAGGUUCUUAGGGAAAAAAAAGGGGGAGUAUAAGCUGAUACCGUUUUCCCUGCUGUGUGAGUGUCCUGAUUGUAAAAAUUUUCUAGCUUUAUGUUGGCAAAAUUGUAUUUCAAGGAUUACCUUGAUUAGCUAUAUGAGAAAUGGGUUGGAGAGAAGCUACAACAGUUCCUUAAAUGUUCUUAAACAUCUUAGAUUAUUCUAUUUAAUUCCUGAAGAGAUCAUUUGGAUAUGUUUUCUUGAGCAAAACAGGCAGAUGGUGUUGCUACCCAGUUUCCCAAUUCUGUAAGGCCUGUAGCAGACAUUUACGGUAGGCUUGCAGUAGUGAAAGAUCCAUGGACUAGGAAUCAGAAGACUGGGUCCUCGGCCUUAUUCCCAGCUCUGUCAUGCGUGAUUUUGUGGCUCUUAGGUUGGUGACCUGCAAAAUGGAGAUGUUGGUCAUCCUUGCUUACUUCACCAGGGGCGUCCAUCCUAAGACAUAAGAGAAUGCCGUGAUGUUACAGCCUUUCGAUUAUGAUCCCAAUGAGAAAAGUAAACACAAGUUUAUGGUUCAGUCUAUGUUUGCUCCAACUGACACUUCAGAUAUGGAAGCAGUAGUAAGUACUGAAUGCUUCUUAUUUUUUUCAGUAACAAUAAUUUAAAAAACCAAUUAGAUAUGGAAUUGUGGGUGCAUGCAUUUCAAAAUAUGUCAAAAUUAUUUAAAAGGGAAUAGUUUUUUUUCAAGGAGGUUUGUACUUUAUCUACCUUUAUGGUUUUUCUAAAACUUUGAGGAAUAAUUUUAACAUUUUUUGUGACUUUCUAGAAGGCUGUUCUUUUCUGACUUUCCUGAGCUCAGUGUGCUUCAGCAGCUCCUUGCACUGGUGGAUGGUGUCUUGCAUGGUUAGGGAUUGCCUUCUUUCGCCUCUCCUUUCUGCCCCGACAGAAAAGGAUACUUUUCAUUGUCCCGCCUUUUUCUUACUUGUCUUCUCAUCCCCCACAAACUCAAGAGCCAUGUGAGAGUGUCAGUGCUGAAUGUCCUCACCCAUUUAGACAUACAUGUUUGUGGCUUUGUUCUAGUAAAUAUGCUUAUUUAUUUUCCCCCCUGCUUAAAUCUAUGUUUAACUUUUCUCUAAUUUUGAUAAAAUUAAGAUGACUUCAUUUUUAUAAAAGAAAUAAGUGAUGUUAGUGAUGGUU
rnacentral:lncRNA from 10 species